rnacentral:lncRNA from 1 species
UUCCAAAGCACCAGGCUUUUCAGAUGAUAGCAUUAAAAAUGUCUGCUUUAGCUAUCUCUUGCCGUUUCAUUUCCAUUCCAUCAAAUCCUUUCAAUCAGGAUUUCGUGGCCAUCUUUCUCCUGAGCCCAGAUCUUCUCUCGUCUCUUCCACCAGGUAACUCCCUUCCCCUUUUCUUAGUGCCUCUUUCGCCAAGUCAUGCGCCUUAUCAUUCUCUGUUCUUUGUAUGAAUCGAAAAACAAUGUUUUGGAAUCGAUUUUUGUUGUUCUGAAUAUCAAUCAUGAUCGCACUUAGAACCGAUUUAUCUCUGACCCCUACUUUGCACUUGUUGAUUAUUGUUUUCGAAUCCCCCAUUACCGUGACUGAGUUAAAGCCCAAUCUAAUGCAUAAUCUGGUUGCUUCUAAACAUGCCAAUGCUUCUGCUACAAACGGAGAGGAAACGUUGGAGUGAAGAGUGGACUUAGAGACUACGAUUUCCCCAUUUUGACCCAUGGCUACCAUUCCUGAUGCUGAUCUGGAGUUGUUGGUGUUGAAAGCUGCGUCAAACUGUAUGGACUCCCCUAGUAUCUCUUCUCUGUGUUCGAAUCUACCAGCCGUGGUGGUAAUUUUUCUUUCUCGCACAACUUCAAGCUCUCCUAAGUAACUCUGUACUGUAAUAGUUAGAUCCCUUCCUGAUGAACUCUUCCUUUCAUGGAGCAUCUGAUUUCUCGAGCUCCAGAUAACCCAUAAGGUGCAACAAAAAAUACGGAUCUGCUCCUUUGUUCCUCUACUGAAUACCCAAGUGAGCCAUGACCAUGUAUUCUGAUCUGUAUGUUCUGUUACCCAUGCCAUAUUGAGACUAAUCCAUGCAUCCAUGCUUACAGGACAUUGUCUGAACACAUGAAAGCUGUCUUCUUCUUCAGAACAACCACGUGGACACCUUGCAGUAGUGGUCACUCUCUUUUGUCUGAAGUUAACAAGUGAAGGGAUGUAGUUCCAAGAUAUUCGCCAUACGAGAAUUAGGAUUUUUGUUGGUAACUGUAAACUCCAUAAUUUCCUGUAGAAAUCUUUGGUAUCAGUCUGUAAUAAAUAAUUACUAGGAUCCAAGCUAGCUUCUUGUAAUAGUUUGUAGGCACUUCUGACUGUAUAUUCUCCGGACAGUUCCCCUUUCCAUACUUUCAUGUCAUCACAAUCCGUGCUCACAAUAGGAAUCUGCAGUAUCUUAUGAGCGAUUUCCUUUCGAAAGGUAUUCAUAAUUAACUCUGUCUUCCACUACUUGUUAAUAUUAUCAAUAAGAUCAGAAACCAUAACUAACUCCCCAUUUUCUCUUCUAUUUUGCCACAUCUCCGGUUCCAUCCCUGGUAUCCAACGGUCAUUCCAGAUAGAUAUUGAGUCCCCUCUUCCAACUCUCCAGGUGAGACCAUUUAGAAGGAGUCUUUUUGCUGCUCAAAUGCUUCUCCAGGUAAGCGAUGGUAGGUUUCCUAACUGUGAAUUAAGAAAGCUAGACCUUGGGUAAUAUUUAGCUUUAAGCACUCUAGUUAAAAGUGAAUUUGGAUUAUUAAACAAACGCCAGCCCUGUUUUGCUAACAACGCAAUGUUAAACUGAUUAAAAUUUCGAAACCCCAACCCACUAUUUUCCUUUAAAAAGCAAAGGUUUUUCCAAGAACACCAAUGGAUUCCCUUUUUUCCUCGAUUCUUUUGCCACCAAAAUCUCGCAACAAUACCCUCCAAGUCCUCGCAUAAUGAUUUUGGGAGUAAAAAACACGCCAUUGAGUAUGUCGGUAUGGCUUUCAACACUGCUUUAAUAAAUAUCUCUUUUCCCCCUUGCGAUAAAAAACGAGUGCUCCAAUUUUCAACAUGCUGUUUCAAUCUGUCUUUUAAAGUCUGAAAAGAUUGCUUCUUUUUCCUACCUAUCAUAUUUGGCAAACCCAGGUAUCUUUCUGGCUCAUCUGAACUUCGAACUCCCAAUAAAUUGGCGGUUGAAUGUCUUUCUUCCUCGAGCGUAUUUUUGCUAAAAAAGACGGUGGUUUUAGCAAAAUUCACACAUUAACCUGAACAUCUCUUAUACUCUCUGAGAAUCUCCUUUAGUGCUAACGUACCUUUUCUCGUCGCUUCUCCAAAUUGAAUGCAAUCAUCCGCAAAUAGUGAGUUACCUGCGGACCAGUUCUGCUUGCCUUCACUCUUUUUAGAAGACCUUCUCUAGCAUUCAAUCUCAUUAGACUGUAUAGUCCUUAACCACAUAUUAGGAAUAGAAACGGACUCAAAAAAUCACCCUGUCGAAGUCCCCUUGUUGGACGAAAAAUUCUUCCAAUACCUCCGUUCACCACAACUUGAUAUGAAACUGUGGACAUGCAAUUCAUGAUAGAUGCAACACAAUUCUGCUCAAAACCUAUCCGCAGUAUUACUUCCUUGAUAAAUCUCCAAUCCACUCUGUCGUAAGCUUUGCUCAUGUCAAGCUUAACAAACAUAUAUCCAUGUUUCCCCAUUCUUCUCUGUUUAAGAGUGUGCAAUAACUCAUAGACCAGCAAAAUAUUAUAAGGAAUAUUAUCAGAAAUUAGUCUGCCUGGUAUGAAAGUACUUUGUGCGCUGUCAAUACAUUUAUCAAUAACUCCUCCAAAUCUGUUUGCUAUCGCUUUUGCCAUGAUUUUAUAAAUAACAUUGCAUAAACUAAUAGGGGCCUAAAAUGGGUCAUAUUAGAGGGGUUUUUGAUUUUUGGGAUAAGAACAAUAUGAGUUAAGUUUAUUUGACUGACCUCCAUUUCGCCAUUAAGAAAGUGUAGACAAAAACCAGCCACUUCUAUAAAAUGCCAACAUUUUUGAUAAAAAAGAGCAGGAAAAUCGUCUUCCCCAGGUUCCUUCGUGGGGUGCAUUUCAAAUAAAGCCUCCCUUACUUCUUAUUUUGUGUAUUUUGCAUUGAGUUUCCUGUUAUCAUCAUCCGAGUUACACCGAUCAAUUCCGGACAGUAUACGCUCAUAAUUUGUUUGAUUUUCUGACGAGAAUAAUUCUUCAAAAUAUGAUUGUGCAAUAUGAUUCAUCUCCUGGCUAUCAUUCGUUUCCUGACCGUUUUUAUUCUGUAGUCUGAUUAUCACAUUCAUUUUCUUCCUUUGCGUUGCCUGACUAUGGAAGAAGGUUGUAUUUCUGUCUCCAAGUUUUAACCAAUUUAGUCUAGCUCGCUGCUCCCAAUAAGCUUCAUCCUUUUCAAUUUCAAAAUUAAGUUGGAUCGUUGUAUCAAUCAUCUCAGCUAAGUUGGAAUCAUCCCUUUCAGUUUCUAUCAAAGUUUACAGUUUGCCUGUGAGAAAUUUUUUCCUUCCCUGUUUUUUUCCUUUGCACCUGUUUCAUCCUUUUAAUGAGCCCUUUUCGAAACAUUUCCAUGUUCUGCAGGAAAUCUCCAAAUGCCAUCACCCAUAGACGCGUAGCUUCAUCAGCAAAUGAGUCUCCAUAAUCCACCAGGUUCAAAUUUGAAUUUAUUCAUUUUUUCCCAUUUUUCUUCCUUAUUUGUGUUGACAAAAAUAGGACAAUAAUCAGAAAAAGAGGGAACCAAGUGUUCCAACUCUUACCUCAGGGAACAUGAAGAUCCAACUUGUAUUAGCAACACCCCUAUCUAGGCGCUCUUUGAUGUUCGUUUCUGGGAAGUUUCCUCUCUCCCAGGUGAACCAUCUACCAGAGUAUCCCACAUCAGCAAGCUGACAAAAGUCUAACGCUUCUCUAAACAUCUCCAUUCUUUUUUCCUCUCUUGGUAAACCUCCCUUCUUUUCAAAAUCAAACAGUAUUUCAUUGAAAUCCCCACAAACCAGCCAAGGGGUAUCUUCCUCUCUAUGAAGAUUUUUCAAAGUAGACCAUGAAGCCACUCUAUCUUGCGCAUAUGGAGUUCCGUAAAAACCCGUAAAUCGCCAUUUCCUAUCCUUUUCAUCGUCCUCCACAUCAAUGUGUCUUUUUAAGAAAUUCUUUAGCGUAACAUUGAUGUUAUUUCGCCAAGCUAGGCACAAUCUCCUCUAGAACCCUUCGAAUCAACAUCAAUGCCAUUCCAAAAUCUGCAUCUUCUUCUAGUUCUUUCCGUUCGUUUCCUGCAAAGCUUAGUCUCCAUAAAGAAGACAAUUUGGGGAUUAUAAUUUCUCAGCGAAUGCUGAAGCCUUCGAAAUGUCCAUAGACUCUCCAAUCCACGGACGUUCCAACUCAGAAUAUUCAUUGUUGCCGGUCGGCUUGCCAUUUGGCAGCCGCCGAUAAUAAAUGAUUACUUUCAACCAUUCUCGUAUUUCCCAGUACAUUUCUCAGUUCUUCUUUUCCUAUUAUAUCUUCAGUUUCCCCUCUGGGCCUCUUUUUUCCUUCCUUCCCGACUAGAGCAACAUCUUCUAGAUCCUGUUCCAUCGCAAUAGGAAUUAAGUUCUCCUUGCCUCGUUCUGCGUGAAGUGAACCUCCCGUCAAAUUAAAUCCAAGGACUGGAUCAACAUUUUCUCCAUAUCUUAUCAUCCACCCCGAGGACUCUUGUCCCUUUCUGAGAUUUCCAGAUUCUGCAUUAAUGCCUCCACUAUCCCCAUCUCUUUCCUCCCGUAGCCAAAUACUUUUCAUUGUUAAUGACCUUCGUGAUUGGGCUGGAUGAGACAAGUCCCAACCCAUUUCAGCAAUUUCCACUCCAAGGUUCAUUCUUUCCUCACAAAACGAGUCAUUGUGCCCAAGUCUUCCACAAUAGAAACAAAAUUAAGAUAAGCGCUCAUAUUUAAAAUUGACGUAUGAACAUUUUCCACCAAAAGAAAUUUUCUUCCUCCUUUUCAAAGGACGCCUUAUGUCGAUCUGUACUCUAAUUCUCAUAAAAUUCCUAUUCCCUUUUCCCAAUGAAGAGACAUCAUGCUCCAUGAAAUUUCCCAAGAAAUUUCCUAACUGGACAGCCAGAAUAUCAGAAAAGAGACCAGUAGGAAUGUUAUAAAUCUGGACCCAAAAAGGUGUCAGAACUAGAGGGAUCUGUAGAGGAUCUUCCCCCAAUUCUAAUUUGUAUAGUACCAACAGAUGAUUGUUGAAAGUCCAAGGUGAGCCUUUCAAAACCCUAUUCAUAUCCAUUGCAUGAAAAAACUGAAACAGAUACCUUUUUUCUCCAGAUCACAGAUUCGUACUCCCUUAACCGGAUGCCACAGAUUUGCCAUUGUACUUUUCAUUGCAGGAAAGUGGAUCGUGCUUGCUGUGAGAAAACAUCCUACUAAUUGAAAGAUUUCGCCCCUGUUUUCCCUGUUUAGAUCUAUUGGUUUGUGGAUGAUUUCCUCUUCUUCAUCAUUAAUUGACAGUUGGCCUAACACAUUCUCCAUUCUUUGCAGGUGAAAAAAAAAAACUCCCAGCCUUCGUUAAACACAGGUCUUAUUUCAAGAAGAAAAGCCUAUACAUAUCACAGAUGACUAAAAGCAGAGUAACGAUAGAAACAAAGCAGAACGAAGAACCUAAAAAACUCUUGCGAGUGGCGGCAGACAAAGGCUUCCUAGGGUAGCAGACUAUAUAUAAAAACCAAAUUUUUUUUCUUUUCAAGCGUUAUUUAUAUAACUUACAUAGUAAUUGUAUAAAGAUAAAUAUAUUUUAUCACUUCAUUUGUUAUUUUAUCUUUAAAUUAUAUUAUAAAGUGAUUGAUUCACACAUUGAAGAGUGUAUCAUGUUUUAAUUCUAUCGGAUCAUAUUUUUAAUCUCAAAUUAUCUCAAAAUUUUCUAAUU